GAUCCUGGCUCAAGAUGAACGCUAGCGGCAGGCUUGACACAUGCAAGUCGAGGGGCAGCAUAAUGGAUAGCAAUAUCUAUGGUGGCGACCGGCGCACGGGUGCGUAACGCGUAUGCAACCUACCUUUAACAGGGGGGAUAACACUGAGAAAUUGGUACUAAUACCCCAUAAUAUCAUAGAAGGCAUCUUUUAUGGUUGAAAAUUCCGAUGGUUAGAGAUGGGCAUGCGUUGUA
rnacentral:rRNA from 1 species